AAUAAUAACCACCAUGACUCACUGGGAGCGCAGCCCCUAGGGCUCAGGAGGUCUGUUGCUAAUUCCAACCAGUAUAAUUUAUGGGAAGUAAACGAUCUAUGACGUGCCCAAAGAGAAGAAAAGUACAUACAGGAUGCUUCUACUUAGGAUUUUUUUGGUAGGGAAGAAAUACACAAGUUAAAAAGGGACAACAUUUUCUUUUGUCUUAAAGUCUAUGCAACUUAAAGGAGGGUGGGGGAGGGGGGAAGGUCCUCCAAUCCCCCCAAAGUCAAACCAAACCAAAUUACUCCAGUUUAGCUAUGCAAUCCGAGCUGUAACCACAUCAAGUGAGCCCCGUCUGCUGCAAAACAUCACUUAAGCUGGAGCUCUGACUUAUUGUUCUCUGACUGCCCUGGAGCAAUUUUGUUUUGAAGAGCACAGAACACCCUGUUCUGAAUGUGGCUGGCACAUGAACUCAAUGUGCUGACAGCAAUUUGUACUCUGAUUAAACCGUGUGUGUGUGUGUGUGUGUGUGUGUGUGUGUGUGUGUGUACUGUAGUAACAAAAACUGGAAUGCAAAAACUGUAUAAUUUGUAUUUUAGGAAGCAAAAGUGAGAAAGGCUCCACAACCCAAAAAUAAAGUGCUGUAAACGCUCCAGCCUAAAGACGCAGCUCUGGGGCCCCAAGCUAAGUAAGUCAUGCCUGUGCCUUUACUUUCCUUCUCAUCUGAGAACAUUACAACUUCUUGUACUGAAUGAAACACGGAGGAAAGAGCCAGAAGGAUAUGGACAGAGUUGCAGAAAAAGUCAUCAGAAGAAAGAAACACUAGCCGGCAGAGAAGGUUGGACCCACUCGAUUCACAAUCUCACUUUAGUGAGAAGAAGUGCUCAUGUUCAAGAACUGCAUGCAGUAUGUGAGCCUGAGUCCCACCCAGAGGGAAUCGGCAUUUCCAGGACCGUGAACCAGUAAUUGAGCAGAUGGGAUGAACAGCUACCAGGAAGUCAGAUACUACGGAAUCACUUCAAGUUUCCACAGCAAGAUGAUCUUGUACCAAAAUCUGGAGUUGCCCUAAAACAGGGAUGGGCAAACUUUUUGACUCGAGGGCCACAAUGGGUUCUUAAACUGGACUGGAGGGCCGGAACAAAAGCAUGG